GGGCCCGUAGCUCAGCCCGGUUAGAGCACUGGCCUUUUACAGUGUUUAACAGUGUUUGAUUGGAAACCAAAAUACUGAUGACAGCCAGGUGUCGGGGGUUCAAAUCCCCUCGGGCCCA
rnacentral:tRNA from 1 species